rnacentral:rRNA from 1 species
CCGGCGACGGGUGAGUAACGCGUAUGCAACUUGCCUAUCAGAGGGGGAUAACCCGGCGAAAGUCGGACUAAUACCGCAUGAAGCAGGGGCCCCGCAUGGGGAUAUUUGCUAAAGAUUCAUCGCUGAUAGAUAGGCAUGCGUUCCAUUAGGCAGUUGGCGGGGUAACGGCCCACCAAACCGACGAUGGAUAGGGGUUCUGAGAGGAAGGUCCCCCACAUUGGUACUGAGACACGGACCAA